UUUCCUCUUGAAGGGUUCUGAGGCAUUCUCAGAUUAGAUGGGUUACAUAGUCCAGCAUACUCUGUGUCUACACCAUGGGUUUCCUCCCAAUUGCAAGUGCGCAAGUGGGGUAUCCUAAUCGCAUGCCUGAACUAACUCAAACACUGAAUUCAAACUGCAGUCUUUCCAGAUGUCUGAGCUCCUCACCCUCUCUAUGGGGACUAGUGUUAGCCACCCAACAAGGGAAAAGCUCAUUUCAGUCUCUUGAAUCCACUCCUGGAGCCAGGGCUGGGAGGGCAGCUCAAGGGCGAAUGACAAACCAAAGACAAAGGGCAAGAUGAAAAACAAAUUGACUAUAAAACUGAAUUUGACUCAACACUACCUUGUUAGGGUAGUAAGACAGAAAACAAAACACCUCCCACACUUGGCCGCCAGUGAGGAGAACAAUCAUGCUGUCAGUCUGAACACAGUUUAAUGCUGUUUAACAAGUGAGAUGUCAAAUAUCAACACUGGUCAAAAUGCUUGCAGUGCGCCAGCUUCGAAUGGGACUUCUGAUUAUGCAGCGCUAACUGUUCGCUAACUGGUGAAGAUUGUUUGGGAUCUACUCGUCACCACAGUUGGCAGAGGUUGGAAGACAUAAAAGGAGUUUUGAGGUGAUGUACUCUAUCGAUGCACAACAGAUUUUGGCUUCCCCCAUUGUAUGUGGGUGCACUUGGCACCAGGUGCAUCACUGUCGCAGUAAGACUCUUUUUGUCAGGUGUGGUGUGCACUAAGCAGAAAGUGUUGUCUGGU